rnacentral:rRNA from 1 species
UACGUAGGGGGCAAGCGUUGUCCGGAAUCAUUGGGCGUAAAGCGCGCGUAGGCGGGUCGCGCGUCGGAUGCUGAAAGCCCCCGGCUCAACCGGGGAAGGGGCACCGAAACGGCCGGCCUGGAGUGGGGUAGGGGGAGCGGAACUUCCGGUGGAGCGGUGAAAUGCGCAGAUAUCAGGAGGAACACCGAUUGCGAAGGCAGCUCGCUGGAACGUUACUGACGCUGAGACGCGAAAGCGUGGGGAGCAAACAGG